rnacentral:rRNA from 1 species
GCCAAAACUCUAGCCCAACAAAUACGAAUAACACCUAACUAAGUUAACUUCUUUAAAAAUAAACCAUUUUUAUAUUUUAGUAAAGGAGAUUGAAAAAUUUAUUGGAGCUAUAAUGAUAGUACCGCAAGGGAAUGAUGAAAUAUUUAAUGAAAAAUUUUAAGCAACAAAAAGUAGAGACUACCCCUCGUACCUUUUGCAUCAUGGUUUAACUAGUUUAAUCAAGCAAAAAGUAUUUUAGUUUGACUUCCCGAAACUAAGUGAGCUACUUCAGGGCAGCUUUUAGAGCGAACCCGUCUCUGUAGCAAAAGAGUGGGAUGACCCUCAAGUAGCGGUGAUAGACCUAACGAACUUAGUGAUAGCUGGUUACUCAAGAAACGGAUCUAAGUCCAACCUAAAUUUCAUAUAAUAGUUUAACAAAACAACUACUUUAUAUUUAGCGUAAUUCAAAUAAGGUACAGCCUAUUUGAAACAGGAUACAACCUAGACUAAUGGAUAUACUGGCUUCUUAAACAAUCAAGUGGGCCUAAAAGCAGCCACCUUUUAAAUAGCGUCAAAGCUUAAUUGUUUACAUGCCUAAUUACUUAAUUAUUACCCUAAUCCUCUACCACUACUGAGUAAUUCUAUACUAUUAUAGAAAAUUUUAUGUUAAAACUAGUAACAAGAAGAGAAUUCUUCUCUUAAAUGUAAGUGUACAUCAGAAAGGAUAAACCACUGAUACUUAACGUAAAUGAAACCAAAGUAAGAACUAAUCAAGAAAAUUUUACUCCUACAUACGUUAACCUAACACAAGAACAUUACAAGAAAGAUUAAAAGAAAAAGAAGGAACUCGGCAAAUAUUAACCUCGCCUGUUUACCAAAAACAUCGCCUCUCGAAUUUCUAUAAGAGGUCCAGCCUGCCCAGUGACCAUGUUCAACGGCCGCGGUAUCCUAACCGUGCGAAGGUAGCGUAAUCACUUGUUCUUUAAAUGUGGACUAGUAUGAAUGGCAUCACGAAGGUUAUACUGUCUCCUUUUUCUAAUCAGUGAAACUAAUCUUCCCGUGAAGAAGCGGGAAUAACCCUAUAAGACGAGAAGACCCUAUGGAGCUUAAAACAAUAUAACAUUUGCUACACAACUUAUUAACUUCCGAACACUUAAUUUUAUAAGCAAUAUGUUUAUGAGUUUUUGGUUGGGGUGACCGCGGAGCAUAACACAACCUCCACAUUGAAAGAACUUUUUCUAAGCUGAGAUUUACAAAUCUAAGCAUCAGUAUUCUGACAUCCAUUGACCCAAUAUAUUGAACAACGAACCAAGUUACCCUAGGGAUAACAGCGCAAUCCACUUCAAGAGCUCCUAUCGACAAGUGGGUUUACGACCUCGAUGUUGGAUCAGGGUAUCCCAGUGGUGCAGCCGCUACUAAAGGUUCGUUUGUUCAACGAUUAAAACCCUACGUGAUCUGAGUUCAGACCGGAGUAAUCCAGGUCAGUUUCUAUCUAUACCUGAAUUUCUUCUAGUACGAAAGGACCGAAGAAAUGUGGCCUAUAUUCUAUACAAGCCACAGCUACUAAAUUAUGAUUUAAACUUAAUAGUAUUGUAGCCUAUAAUAGAGCUCUAGAUAAGAGCU